rnacentral:rRNA from 1 species
AUUGAACGCUGGCGGCAGGCCUAACACAUGCAAGUCGAACGGUAACAGGAAGAAGCUUGCUUCUUUGCUGACGAGUGGCGGACGGGUGAGUAAUGUCUGGGAAACUGCCUGAUGGAGGGGGAUAACUACUGGAAACGGUAGCUAAUACCGCAUAACGUCGCAAGACCAAAGAGGGGGACCUUCGGGCCUCUUGCCAUCGGAUGUGCCCAGAUGGGAUUAGCUAGUAGGUGGGGUAACGGCUCACCUAGGCGACGAUCCCUAGCUGGUCUGAGAGGAUGACCAGCCACACUGGAACUGAGACACGGUCCAGACUCCUACGGGAGGCAGCAGUGGGGAAUAUUGCACAAUGGGCGCAAGCCUGAUGCAGCCAUGCCGCGUGUAUGAAGAAGGCCUUCGGGUUGUAAAGUACUUUCAGCGGGGAGGAAGGGAGUAAAGUUAAUACCUUUGCUCAUUGACGUUACCCGCAGAAGAAGCACCGGCUAACUCCGUGCCAGCAGCCGCGGUAAUACGGAGGGUGCAAGCGUUAAUCGGAAUUACUGGGCGUAAAGCGCACGCAGGCGGUUUGUUAAGUCAGAUGUGAAAUCCCCGGGCUCAACCUGGGAACUGCAUCUGAUACUGGCAAGCUUGAGUCUCGUAGAGGGGGGUAGAAUUCCAGGUGUAGCGGUGAAAUGCGUAGAGAUCUGGAGGAAUACCGGUGGCGAAGGCGGCCCCCUGGACGAAGA